rnacentral:rRNA from 1 species
GCUAUACUGCAGUCGAGCGAACAGAGAAGGAGCUUGCUCCUUUGACGUUAGCGGCGGACGGGUGAGUAACACGUGGGCAACCUACCUUAUAGUUUGGGAUAACUCCGGGAAACCGGGGCUAAUACCGAAUAAUCUAUUUCACUUCAUGGUGAAAUACUGAAAGACGGUUUCGGCUGUCGCUAUAAGAUGGGCCCGCGGCGCAUUAGCUAGUUGGUGAGGUAACGGCUCACCAAGGCGACGAUGCGUAGCCGACCUGAGAGGGUGAUCGGCCACACUGGGACUGAGACACGGCCCAGACUCCUACGGGAGGCAGCAGUAGGGAAUCUUCCACAAUGGGCGAAAGCCUGAUGGAGCAACGCCGCGUGAGUGAAGAAGGUUUUCGGAUCGUAAAACUCUGUUGUAAGGGAAGAACAAGUACAGUAGUAACUGGCUGUACCUUGACGGUACCUUAUUAGAAAGCCACGGCUAACUACGUGCCAGCAGCCGCGGUAAUACGUAGGUGGCAAGCGUUGUCCGGAAUUAUUGGGCGUAAAGCGCGCGCAGGCGGUCCUUUAAGUCUGAUGUGAAAGCCCACGGCUCAACCGUGGAGGGUCAUUGGAAACUGGGGGACUU